rnacentral:rRNA from 1 species
UAGUAAGUGUGUAAGAGCGUACGGUGGAUGCCUUGGCACCAGGAGCCGAUGAAGGACGUAGGAGGCUGCGAUAAGCCUCGGGGAGCUGUCAACCGAGCUGAGAUCCGAGGAUUUCCGAAUGGGGAAACCCAGCACGAGUGAUGUCGUGUUACCCGCGCCUGAAUAUAUAGGGUGUGUGGAGGGAACGUGGGGAAGUGAAACAUCUCAGUACCCACAGGAAGAGAAAACAAUAGUGAUUCCGUGAGUAGUGGCGAGCGAAAGCGGAAGAGGCUAAACC